GACGAACGCUGGCGGCGCGCUUAACACAUGCAAGUCGAGCGAUGAAGCUCCUUCGGGAGUGGAUUAGCGGCGGACUGGUGAGUAACACGUGGGUAACCUGCCUCAUAGAGGGGAAUAGCCUUCCGAAAGGAAUAUUAAUACCGCAUAAGAUUGUAGUUCCGCAUGGAAAAGUCAUUAAAGGGGUAAUCUGCUAAGAGAUGGACGCGCGUGGCAUUAGCACGUUGGUGAGGUAACGGCUCACCAAGGCAACGAUGCGUAACCGACCUGAGAGGGUCAACCGCCGCAUAGGGACUAAGACACGGCCCAGACUACUACGGGAGGCAUCAGUGGGGAAUAUUGCACAAUGGGGGAAACCCUGAUUCAGCAACGCCGCGUGAGUGAUGACAGUCUUCGGAUUGUGAAACUCUGUCUUUGGGGACGAUAAUGACGGUACCCAAGGAGGAAGCCACGGCUAACUACGUGCCAGCCGCCGCCGUAAGAC
rnacentral:rRNA from 1 species